UUGCUGUCAGCAUCCCUGGCAUCACAUCUUGACUUUAAAGCUGCAGUCCAUAUCUGGUUAUCUUACAACGACAGAAGAAUACAGUUGUCCUAGCACAUCUCAGAUUCAAAUCCUGGUCUUUUUCUAACAUGCAGUCCUCACAACUAUCUUUAAGGCCUAGGAAGAACUACAGGAUUCAUCAACUUGAGAAAACUAGAAUGGACAAAUAAACAAACAAAAUCCCUGAAAUUUAAUGUAAAACAAAGGAAAAGCUCUUCAUAAAUGCAGGAAUUAUUUCGUCAAGUCCUGAAAUGCAAAACCUGGGGCAGGAGAGAAAAGGCAGUCUUGUGACUGCACCUCUGACCUAAAGGACAAGCUUUUUCCAAGUGUGACUUCAUUCAGGUAGUGAGAGCAAGAGCUGGAUUAGGAAAUAAGAAGAUUGGCUUCAGGCAAGCAGGUGUCUGUAUUUCUGAUGAGCCAGCUUUUGGUACGAGGGAAACUGCAUUCACAGAGGGACAUGGUGAUUCAGAACCUUUAACAAUGAAGCAGCACAGGAAGCAAAAGCCUGAUUUGGAAAGUUAUUGUCUGGAAGGCUGUAUUUGCCUGAGGCCAGUAGCAUCAACCUGCAUUGUCCAGUGUUAAGGAAAGAAAACCUUUACAGAAAAAGAAGGCAGCUUGCCCUGCUGUGAGUCAUCUGUGUGCUGAAGGAAGGAGACGUUCUUGAGGAAAAAGUUGCUGUCAUGUGCCAGCUGCAGGGGAGAAGCAGGGUUGUACUGUGGUUACAGGAACUUUACGACAUGURGUUUCUCAAGGAAAAGGAGCCUGUGCUGAAGGAACGCUCAGAAAAGCACCCAACUUCYCUGCAGGGUCCAUUGAGGAACUCCACUGCAAGAAAACAAAAAUGUUUCACCUGAGUGGAGUGACAUUUUUCUAAUGCUGGAGGAGAAUGUCUUGAAUAAGUCAGUGAGACUGCACACAGGAAACCAGGGACUGGGCUGAAAUACAAAAAUAGAAGGAAUGAAAGGACAUUCAAAAUUAAUAAAACAGAAAUCAGGCACAAUCUUAUUCAAGAGAGCUGCAUGGUCAGAUCAUGUCACUCCUGCCACCCUGCUGAAUGCCAUGUCACACUGCCAGUGCUUGGGAACAAUGACUGCUGGCUUCAGCAAGACUGCAAGGAAAGGAAAACCUGGACACUGCAUCUAAAUUAAUAAACAAAAUUUUCAGAGGCUUCUCCUGGAGGCCAACUGGCGUGCAAGAGCUUGAAUCCAUGCAGCUAAAGUUUCUUGCCAUCCAAAUCACUGUGGCCACAUCCAAAAUAUCCAUUGGAGAUGGUGCCUGACCCGAGUCAAUACCCAAGCUGUGCUUUGGCAUUGUCUGGAAGAGCAUUAGCAGGCUUGCACCAAAACCAUGCCAGGGACCAGUUUAGCAGUGUGGAUGGUUUCAGGCCCAUGCUUUGCUGGUCUUGUUUAGUUUAUUUAKUGUCAGAAGGAAACCUCAGCAAUUCUGCCAGGAGUCAACAGGAAACCCUUACUGGCCUCARCGACCAGAAGCUGUUGAGAAGUAUAAUCAUGAAGCUGUUCACCUCCUUUGCAUUUGGAACCUUCUCCUCAUUUUAAUUUUUACCAAAUGAGCACUGAAAAUCUUUGACAUCUCAUAGAGUAAUAAAAUUGGGUUGUUGCCUGCUCAAAAUUUGUUAGUUUUGAGCUACCGAGAGGUUUUUCACAGAAGCUGAUCAUCUGGAAAAGCCARCUUCAGGUCUUCUCCCUGAUGAAGGAAGGAUCUCCUAUGGUUUGAGCAAGUAGCUACGAACUUAUGUGACCAGCACUGUGUUUGGAUAUAAGGAUAAAAAGCAAAGAGGUGUUGAGAUCCAAACACACCAGGUGCUUGAGGUCACAUAUGCAUGCUAAACUGAUGUGAACAUAAAACUCCUCUUGAUUUCUGUGGCAACUUAUUUCACUUGUCUGGGACGGAAAUUUAUUUUAAACCCUGCUGGAAUGACAUGUACUUUUCAAGUUCAGAGCACUGGGGUGAGUUUGGAUAAGGCUGAUAUGUCCUUCAURGAGUGUGGGGUGGUUUGGACCACUGGUGCUCUGUGUUUCUGGAGCUAACUCUGCAGUGGCACCCCAAUUAUCCCAUGGAACACUGUACUGUGUUAUAGCUCUGCCUGCAGCAACUUAAAUCAGAAUCAGGCAAUUCAUGCUAUAAUCUUCUCUAUUCUGAAGAUAAAUGGCAGUGAAGGCUGAGUAGUUUUAAAAAGCUCAUCGUACAAAAUUAUUGUAUUAGGCCAUGCUGUAUUACUGAGAUUACAAAAAAUUACCUACAUUAUUGCAUCAAACCAUGAUUUUCCAAUGAUCUCAGCAGCAGCAGAAUUGGGACAAUUUAAUCAUUGUGUUAUCAGUUUGGUAGGUAACUUAUCCUGUAUUGCUGCUCUGAAUGGAAAAAAAAAACCAACUGUAUUGUUUUAUCCAGAGGGUUUCUGGUUUCCAGCACUAGCCCUGACUUUUCUUAGAGCUCAACCAUAUAUUUGAAUUUCUGAAGCUGACAAGUACUCAUUUCAACAACACUUAAGGUAAUGUAUAUUUUGCCUCUGGUUUGCUACAGGCUGAGUGCGGUCUUAAUUAAUGUGGUCAUUUGAUGUCCAACAUCUUGCUGAACUAUUGGAACUUGACUGUGUGCUUUUACCCAACACUCCUUUUCGGGUAAAAAGACUUUCUUAAUUGACCUAUUAGUGGAUCAGUCUCAUAAAGGACGUUKUAGAGACCUACAUGUGCAUAGUCAUAUCUGGCCCAGGCUGUGCAAAUCUCAUUUAAUGAAAAUGUUACGAAGAAAAUAAUCAACUUGUUGUCCAGAAUUACAUACUCAGGAAUUGGUAUUUUUUGCUGAGCUGGAUUUUGAAAUGGAGGAAGUACAGCAAAGCAGAGGAGGAACAUUUGACCUUACCUAAUUUUGCCUCCCUUUUCCUUCUCUUUCUGUCUUGCCCCCCACUCUCCCAUGGAUGCUUGCCUGUGGCUCUGCUCAGACCUAUGACACCAUUGCAUCAGUUAAGGUUUGUAAGGCCAUAAUGUGUUUAUUUUUGCAGUCUGGCCUUGUGAGAAACUGUGGAGGGUUUGCAUGUCCCUCCUACUGAUAAUGGUGGUGUUGAAAGUGCUCGGCGACGCAUUCCAGGGCAAAGCCUUGGAGGCUUUAGUGGGUCGGAGAGACGGUUAACUCUCCUUUGGAAGUAUAUGCAGAUUCCUUUGGCCUUCACUGGGGAA